CUGGUCCGAGUGUCAGGUGAACUGAACUUCAGGUACUUCAUGACGAAGAGUUCCUGCAGAGCUGCUGUGAUUCUUCUGGGCCUGCUGUGUCUUCUUCUCUUGAUUGGACUCAUAACUCUGUUUUUUCUUUUCACCCAAGGCAAAUCUCAGCAGACAGUGGAGAUGAUGAUGUCAUAAAACCGUUACAAAAACCUGACCAGAAAGUGGAAUGAGUUGCAGACCAGUUACAGCAGCGUAACAACUGAACAACACCAGUUACAGACCAGGCACAGUAUUCUGAAAAUGGAACGAGACCAGCUACAGAAAAGCUACAACAAUAUGGUGGAAGACAGAGGCCAGCUCCAAAAGAGAUUUGAAGACAUGACCAAAAAUAGAGAUGA